rnacentral:lncRNA from 1 species
UCAUCCUUAACCAUUUUAAUAACCAUACAUUAUCAAAUACUUACACAUCACUCAUUAGCAAAAUCAUCAUUACAAACAUACAAAAUAACUAAAUCCCUAUACAUGCCAUAAUUCAAACGUGUUUCGAUAUAAAAUACCGAGCAGUUGUAGUUGAUAGUGUGGACGAUCUCCGACUUCUUUAGGAUCCUUGAAGUAGCUUUGCAAUACUAUAAGAGAAAGAGAAAUAAAAGAAGUAAGCAUAAAGCUUAGUAAGUUUACUAGCAAAUAAAUAACAAUAUUUAACUUAAAUAAUUAAACUCAAUGUCUAUAUCUCUAGUUUACUCUUUAGUUAAUCUCAUACUAGUUCUCUUACUUGUUUGCUUAGAAUACUUGUGUGCAUAACUUACUCAAUCCUUGCUGCAUCGUUGAACAUCAAUUGAUAGUAUAAUAAGUUCUUAAGUCUUACAACUUACAUGAGCUUGCCAUUUAUGCUUUAAACUGAACUUUCAUGAACAUGAUUCGUUUACAAGCCCGUUGAGCUACAUUGGAAUAAUAAGGAUACUCGGGUCUCUUCUGAUAAUAACAUGCCAAAGCCAUGUCCCAGACAUGGUCUUACAUGGGAUGUUCUCGUGAUGGUGCCCAUGCCAUGUCCCAGACAUGGUCUUAUAGGGGAUCUCUCAUCUCGGUGCCAACGCCAUGUCCCAGACAUGGUCUUACAUGGGACCUCUCGUCUCGGUGCCCAUGCCAUGUCCCAGACAUGGUCUUACAGGGGACCUCUCAUGAUCUUAAGGAUGCCAAUGCCAUGUCCCAGACAUGGUCUUACAUGGGAUCUCUUUACCCAAAUGUCAUGACAUUCGUAUCCAGUACCAUCCUUAUGUAUCAACGGGACUUUUAAAUUUUAAUUCUCUAUCAUUUCAUGCUCGGAUCAUCAUCAAAUAAAUUCAUAAAAUAAAUUCAUAAUUUCUGGAAAUUAACAGCAUUAAUAAUAAAUAUUGAAAUAUUGCAUUUAUUUACCGUAAACUUACCUCGGUACCAAUUAUAGCCAAAUUCACCAACUUAGUCUUCAACUUUAUUCUUCCAUUUGUCUAACCUCGAGUUUCGUACUUCUUGAUCUAAAAUAGUAAAUUUAACUUAUUUAAUAAUCACAUUCAUUAAAACAGCCCUCGACUCUAACUUUUUCAAAAUUAUAAUUUUGCCCCUAAACUUUUACAUAAUUACAUUUUUGCCCCAAGGCUCGGAAAUUAAACUUCAUCUCUUAUUCUUAUGUUUUAUAACAUUCUGAACAUUUUUCCCUUCUAUGGCAACAUCAAAUUCCCACUCUAACAUGUACUUAUGAACAUUAGGUAUUUUUACCGAUUAUGUCGUUUUACUCGUUUUCACUUAAAAUCGCUUAGCAAAAGUUGUUUAACAUAAUUUCUAGCUUCAUAUUCUAUCAUAAAACAUCAAAAUAAACACUUUUCACCUAUGGGUAUUUUUCCAAAUAUAAACUCUAGGUUAAAUUAUUGCUAGAAUAAGCUAAAUUAAGCUACCGGGAUCUCAAAAACGUAAAGAACAUUAAAAACGGGGCUUGGGAUCACUUACUGUGGAGCUUGGAAGCUUGAAAACCCUAACUAUGGCUUCCCCCCUUGCUGAUUUCGUUCAUAUGAAGAAGAUGAUGAUUUUUGCCAUCUUUUUCCCUUUUAAU